AAUUUAUUGUUACGAUUUUGGAGAAACGCAGGGCAUAACACGGCUAGCUAGUAUAUUAUAAUUGUAUGCAAUUGCGGAUUUACCGAUGUCGCACGGACGUUUCGGAUACAAAGUGUUAAGUCCGGGAUUUGAACACUGCUCGAGCCUAUACCUACACACAAAGUCUCGAUCCCCCGAACCGAUAAUGACGUGACACUUGUGACCCGAAUCUCCAACGAUUCCGACAGCUCGCAAUGAUUGUCAAUAUUGACAUUGGUAUUAUUGACGUGACAAUAUAUUGUUGACAUACUCACCGGCAACACGUGCAUAAGCCCAUAUCUCGAGAGUAUAAAACGCGCUCGUAAAUACGCUACGGGACAUUAUCGACGGCGAAUCACCUGAAUUAUUGUUCUUGAAAAUAUAUCAAAUUAAGUGCACGUAAAUAGGCGGUGUAUACACGAGGCCGUACAUCAACCGUGGUGGAAACUGUAUUGUGAAAUGGAUCGUGCCGUUAGCGUUACCAAUAUCCGGAAGUGGUCUCUGAUCUUCGUGGCUCUGAUAUUACUGACGUACGUCCAAAUAUCUACGUCAGCUCCUUGCGGCGGAAGCGGUAAAUGCGGUUGUGAAGAUGGCUGCGGAUGUUGUAAAUGAUGCUGAGGUGGUUGCUGCUGAUACUAAAAAUACAAACUUUAAUCAAGAGAUAUUACUCAUGUAUGUUCAAAUGGCUUCAUUGGCACCAUGUGGUGGCUGUGGUAGCUGUGGAAGCUAUGGUAAUAGUUUUAGUAUCUCCAGCAUUCUUCCAUCACUUCCAAAAAUUAAUGUAAAAAUUAACCUCAGUGGACUUUUUUGAAAAAAAAAAUAAAAAUUUUUAAUGAUUUUA